GACGAACGCUGGCGGCGUGCUUAACACAUGCAAGUCGAACGGAAAGGCCCUGCUCUUGUGGGGUGCUCGAGUGGCGAACGGGUGAGUAACACGUGAGUAACCUGCCCUUGACUUUGGGAUAACUUCAGGAAACUGGGGCUAAUACCGGAUAGGAGCUCUUGCUGCAUGGUGGGGGUUGGAAAGUUUCGGCGGUUGGGGAUGGACUCGCGGCUUAUCCGCUUGUUGGUGGGGUAGUGGCUUACCAAGGUUUUGACGGGUAGCCGGCCUGAGAGGGUGACCGGCCACAUUGAGACUGAGAGACGGCCCAGACUCCUACGGGAGGCAGAAGUGGGGAAUAUUGCACAAUGGGCGGAAGCCUGAUGCAGCAACGCCGCGUGCGGGAUGAAGGCCUUCGGGGUGUAAACCGCUUUCGCCUGUGACGAAGCGUGAGUGACGGUAAUGGGUAAAGAAGCACCGGCUAACUACGUG
rnacentral:rRNA from 1 species